rnacentral:rRNA from 1 species
AACGAACGCUGGCGGCAUGCCUAACACAUGCGAGUCGAACGAGACCUUCGGGUCUAGUGGCGCACGGGUGCGUAACGCGUGGGAACCUGCCCUUAGGUUCGGAAUAACUCCCCGAAAGGGGUGCUAAUACCGGAUAAUGUCUUCGGACCAAAGAUUUAUCGCCUUUGGAUGGGCCCGCGUUGGAUUAGCUAGUUGGUAGGGUAAAAGCCUACCAAGGCGACGAUCCAUAGCUGGUCUGAGAGGAUGAUCAGCCACACUGGGACUGAGACACGGCCCAGACUCCUACGGGAGGCAGCAGUGGGGAAUAUUGGACAAUGGGCGAAAGCCUGAUCCAGCAAUGCCGCGUGAGUGAUGAAGACCUUAGGGUUGUAAAGCUCUUUUACCCGGGAUGAUAAUGACAGUACCGGAAGAAUAAGCGCCGGCUAACUCCGUG